UGGUUUGGUCAACGGCUACAGGUGGUGGCAGAAAGGUCGUUGGGAAACCCCAAUAAGGAAUAGUCAAUGUUGUUAUUCUGGCUUCAUGAGCCAUUUAUAAAUACCCUGGGUACCAUAGGCUUGAGCAGGAGCUUUACUCGCAGUCAGUAAAGGGCGCAUAUUAAAUGAACGAAGCUCGAGACUCUGGUACCCAGGGUAGUUUAUAAACUGAAGAAGCCUGAAUUUCUGAAAGCCUGAAGGAAACCAAUUAAAACUGUUUCAAUGUGUUACUAUUUAUGUCACUUGGUACUAUAUGCCAUUAAGGUUGUCCAGACACCAGUGAAAGUGGUUCAGUGGGGGGUGUUCCUCUGAUCCCUAGACCAUGACAAAGCAGUUUUGAAAAAUUAAAAUAGUCAUCAACUUCUUGUCCAUCCCCCCUCCCCCUUACUAGAUCCUAGCUAUGCGUUUGGCCCACUUAAGCUGCCUUUUUUUCUCCGCUUCCAGCUUCCACAUUCCUUGCAAUAUUUCAAAAAUUUUGUAAUAACUAUUUUAAUUGUUUUAUUUUUAUAAUUAUUAUUAUUUUUUUUGACACUCACUCACUCACUAUCCUUUAAACGUCAGUUAUCCACUGGUCGCGGGUCUGACGGUGCAUGAUUCAAUUUCAACUUCCAAUGAACACGGUCUUGAGCAUCAUCUGGGGUCAGCCCCGCCAGCUUCAGGUCCUCACGGAGGACCUCAUGCCAGUUCUUGCGGGGUCUCCCCCGUGUCCUUUUGCCUUCUAUAAUGAAAUCCCUUAUCCAGCGAAUCCAAGAGGUGCUCCGCUGGACAUGGCCAUACCAUCUAAGACGCCUCCGUCUGAGGGCAGCGUCAAGGUCUUCAAUGUUGAGCCUCAGGCGGAGCUCACUUGUGCUGAUGUCAUUGCUAGGCUUUAUGGCACACAUCCAACGAAUCAUAGCUCUCUCGUUCCUCCGUAGUCGUGCCAGGUCGGUCUGUUUUAGAGGCCAGCACUCACUGGCAUAUAGCAGGGCCCCUCUGACACAACUGCUAUAAAUCCGACCACGUGUAUGCAAGGACAGGCUCUUGGAACAGAGUAUUGGUAGCAACUCCCGAAACUUGCCCCAGGCAACCCUGACCCUUGUAAUUGUGGCAGCUUCACAGCCACCACCUGCAGAGAUGUUAUCCCCCAAGUAACAGAAUGAGUCCACAACAGCAAGCUGUUGGUCGUCAACUUGAACUGUGUCCAGAGGUCUGCCAUCAAUAGGCCGGGCUACACCAAGACAACGACUGCACUUGAAAGAGGGGUUGGGGAUUUUCCAGAGAGUCAGAGGCGAUAACCAGAUCAUCGGCGUAGAGCAGCUCCCAGGGACAACCUCUGCGUAGAUCACAAGACAGGGCUUCCAGAACAAUGAUGAACAGGAGUGGGCUCAAAACUGAUCCCUGAUGUACACCGACUUGAACAUUGAAAUUAUCACUGUAGGAGUUGUCAACUCUAACCCUACUUGACGCAUUGGAAUACAUGGCUUUUACUGUUGAAACUAGCCACUCUGGGACACUUAGCCGCCGCAUUGCCCACCACAGUACUUCACGCGGGACACAAUCAAAGGCCUUUUCAAGAUCUACAAAGCCCAGAUAGAGAUGUUUUCCUUUUUCCAGGUGUUUUUCUUGCAACUGACGUAAAAUGAAAAUGGCAUCGUUCGUCCCCUUGCCAUGCACAAAGCCAAAUUGCAUCUCGUCAAUUUCCACCAAACUACGGAUGAUCUUCUCCAACACCCUCUCAAUUACCUUGAGACAGUGUUCUGUUAGUUUCAAUCCCCGGUAGCUACCCCUGUCUAAAGCAUCACCUUUGCCCUUAUAAAGAUUGAUUAUAUAACUCAGAUUCCAGUCAUCUGGGAUCGACUUCUCAGCAAUGAUUGCAUUUGCGAUAUCACAGAGCAAUGGGCAACUGAUCUCAGCUGAAGCUUUCAACAUUUCGGCAACAAUACCAGAGGGACCUGGUGCUUUGCACUGCUUCAUCUUACUGACUGCCUCUGCAACCAUCCCAGUAGUAAUAAGGAUGGGGGGACCAUAAACUGGUUCUGCUAAUGGCAGGUCAUCAACAGACCAGGGAAACUCUAUAUUCAAUAAUCGCUCAUAAUGAUCUUUCCAAGCUUUAGCUUUAGCCUCAGUGCUGAGGGCUAGGUUUCCAUGGUCAUCCCUAAUACAGCAGUCUCCUACAACAUCUUUGUUUUCCUUUUUCAUCUGCUUUGCAAUCCGAAAUAUGUCCUCUUCACCUUUCUCAACAUUUGCGAACGUAUCCACCUCAGCCUGCUUCUUCGCUGCGUAUACUGCCUUCUUAGCCACCCGUUUAGCCUUAUGAUAUUCCUCUUUACUACCACGUCCACUCUUCCAAGCUUUCCAUGUGCGCCUUUUCUCAUUUAUAGCAGAACUGACAGACUCAUCCCACCACCAGGUUUGCUUUCUCCAGUGCCCUUUUUUGGUGUAACCACAAAUUUUGUCACUGACUUUUGAGAGACUGUCUUUUAGGAGUAGCCAUUGAUCAUCUACUGAAGGAAGGUGAUGGUGACCUUCCACUUCAGAUCUCACCUCGGAUAAGAAAACACUCUUCACCUCAGGGUCUCUUAGCUUCCACACACGAAGCUUGGGGGUAAAGGAGUGUUUAUGCUGCCUCCUGGGUAUGAUGGCGAGAUCACAGACAAGCAGUUUGUGUUGGGUGGCACACUCCUCAUUUGGUAUUACCUUUACAUUAUGCACUGAUUUAAAAUGGCAUUUCUGUGACAGAAUGUAAUCAACCUGGGUAGAAGCACCUCCAGAUUCGUACGUGACAAGGUGGCUUUUCCUUUUCUGAAAAAAGGAGUUGCAGAUGACAAAAUUAUUGGCUAUAGAGAAUUCAAGAAUUCUCUCACCCUCGAUAUUACGCUCACCAUAGCCAAAACCACCAUGUACUCCAUCAUAUGCAGAGGCCUUGCUACCGAUGUGACCAUUAAAGUCACCACAGACAAAUAAAAGCUCAGAGUCAGCAAUCUUAGAAAUGGUACACUGGAGCAGAUCAUAAAAAGCAUCCUUAGAUCUAUCAUCUAACCCUGAUUGUGGGGCAUACACAGAGAGAACAGUUAAUAUAGAGGCCCCGACAUUUAUCUUGAUCACACAGAUUCUAUCGGAUACACGAUUAACUUCAACAACACUCUCUACCCACUUUUCAGCCAGAA